CUAACAGUUAUAACCCGAAAGCGCAAUCUCGUUUUGAGUUUUUCAUAGGGGGAUGGAAUAAUUCAGGCGGUGGGAAUAAUCUACUACAGGAAACGUAAUAUUAAAUACUAAUGAUUAUUAAAGCAAACAAAAACAAAGAUUAUGGAUUUAUCUAUGUAUGGCGAAAAUUUGAAUUUUAGCAGUUCUGAUGAAAUAAGCUCUGAUGAAGAAAGCGGAAAUAUAAAAGAAGUCUAUGAACAAAGUUUGAGUAUCAUUGAAAAUAAUUGUUUACCUACACGUGAUAUUGUUUAUG
rnacentral:lncRNA from 1 species